UGUAACACUUGUUCUCGUACGAUCACUGAAGUUAAGCAACAUCGAGUCUAGUCAGUACCUAGACGGGUAACUUUUAGGGAAUACCUGAUGCUGUAA